rnacentral:rRNA from 1 species
AUUUGCGGCGGCCCCAAGUCAGGCGAGACCACCCGCCGAAUUUAAGCAUAUCAAA